rnacentral:tRNA from 1 species
UCCCUGGUGGUCCAAUGGUUAGGACUUGGUGCUUUAACUGCUGUGGGCCCAGGUUCAAUACCUGGUUGGGGAA